CUUCAGUGGCUGUUGGACAGCUUCUUAUCGCGGAGAAUAAAAUUCGGCUGUAUGCUGGAACACCCGUGUAUCUCCAAAUACCUUGAUGAAAGUCGAAAGGUAAAAAUUUUGGAGUGGCAUUUCGCACCAUUGCGGAAUCAACGGACAAUCAGCAGGCAACCGAGUGCUAUACGCAUUCGGGAGUCCUCAACGACUAUAUGCCGAAUCCCACUUGAUGUGGGAAUGAUAUAGUCUGAUCUUUCGGGCGACCGAAAG
rnacentral:ncRNA from 1 species